CCAAAUCUGGUUAGCACUUGUCAGUAAGUGCAAUACCUCCCAUCACCCAUCAGUAGGUGUGACUUCCUGGAAUCCUUCAGUGGAUUCAAAAAUUUUCUAGCAUCCCUCAGUAGAUGCUAUCAUUACUGCCAUCAGAAGCAGCGCAUAACCCAAAAAAAAUAAAAAUAAAAUAAAAAUAAAAAAUAAAAAUAAAAUCAAAUCAAAUCAAAUCAAAUCAAAUCAAAUAAAAUGAAAUAAAAUAAAAUCGAAUAAAAUAAAAUCAAAUAAAAUCAAAUCAAAUUAAAUCUAAUCAAAUCAUAUCAAAUAGAAUCAAAUCAAAUCAAAUCAAAACGAAAAAAAAAUUCAGAAACUGGGUUGCCUCCCAGCAAGCGCUCUUUUUAUGUCACUAGCUUGACCUGGUAGAGUUCAAACACCCAUCAGUAGGUGUUGAUACUCCCCUUUCUUGAUAUUCUUUUCUUUUUCUUCUUCCUGCUGAAUUUCUUCAUAAAAUUAAGAACACCAAGCACCUGUUUCCAUGUUUCAAUCAUAGGAACUUUAAUCUCCAAUUUCUUGAAAAUCUCCAUAAAGCUCAAGAAUUUAUUUACCUUCCUAUGAUAUUUCUUUUUAUGAGGAAGGGGUUUUUCCCAAGAUCUUCUCUAUUUUCCUUUUUUCCUAUUCUUUUCUCUCCUCAACUUUCCUCUUUUCUCUUUUCUUCUUUUCUUCUUUAUUUUUGAAUAUUUUUUCUUUUUUUCUUUUUUCUUAACAACUGCUUUUUCUCCCUCCUCAUUUGUAUCUUCCUCAACCAACUCUUAUGUUUCUUCUUCUUUUAAAUCUCUCUCUAUCUCUUCUUCCUCUAUCUUUUCCUCCUUGACAACCUUAUCAUUUUUAGAGAUAGUGGCUUGAUAUUCUUCUUCAGGGUUAACUUCAGUAUUAUCCCUAAUAAUGCCCAAAGACUUCAAUAUGCAAGAGUGUUGUUCCUGCAAUAAACGUUCUUGUGCUUCCCCCAACGUUUCUUUUGGCAAGAAGAAUAGUUUCUACUGAAAAACUCGUUCAGCUUCUCCCAAUGUUUCUUUUGGCACAGAAGAGAGUUCCUGCCAUAAACAUUGCUUAGCUUCCCCCAACGUUUUUGUUGGCCUAGAGAGUUGUUGCUUAACAUCACGUCCAUUCUGGCUUUGAUUCAAGUUUGAGUGAGGUUCCCACCAGUGGUUGGAAUUAUUUUGGUAGAAUUGAGUGCCCACAUAAUCAAAUUCUUGUCUAAACUGCAUUCUGCAAACAUUAGGCAAAAAACCGUAGAAAACAUUUAUUAGAACAAAAAUACAAAUAAAAAUAAAAUCAAGUCAAAUUCAACAAAUUCACACUACUGGAGAAAUAAACCUCGAGUCCCCGACAACGGCACCAAAAACUUGUUGACAAAUUGGCAAGUGUACCAAAUCGUACAAAUAAUAUAAAUGGUAAGACCAAGUAUCAUUUUCCCAAGAGACUCGACUGGCUUUCUCGUUCAC
rnacentral:lncRNA from 1 species